AUCUUAACCUCCUUGGGUCUUUUAUCCCCCUUCUGAAUGUCUUCCCCUUCUUUAAUGUACCUUAUCUCCUUUGCCCUUUGUCGUCCGUCUCUUACCUACCUUUAUGUCUCUCUACCCUCUCUGUUUUUCUUACUCCUCUCUGUAACAUGUCAUAUAUGUAUAUAUCUCCCCCCUCCUCCCCCUUUUUUAAUAGAAGAAAAAAAUCAACAUAUUGGAAUGGGCACACACACACACCUCUCAUUCAUGCAGGCUUGCUCCUAGUGCUUUUAGCUUAAC